rnacentral:lncRNA from 1 species
GAUUGCCAGCUGUCUCAAGACUGAUCAGUUUGAAGGCAAGCAGUAGAGAAAGGACUCGAAGAGCGCCAAGCAGUCGGAAGUAAAAAUGACAAAGAACAAAUGCAGAACAUCAGAUUAUAUCAUCAGAUUUUAUUGAAUGUGCCAAGUUGGGAUGCAAGAAUAUGUCAAACCACAUCCAACAGUACUAAGACACUAACCAUGGGAAUGAAGAAUGCUUUCUAGUUUGCAUAAAGUAGUUGCUCAGGAAAACACCAUCAUUACACAAGGUAUAUAUUCUUCUGCGAUUUGUAAUGUGAUUUUGUUUUCUGUAAACUUCUUAAUAUAAGCUCCCCUGUGUACUGUAUAAACCCACCACAACGCUCACCUCAUUCCAAAUAUAAGCAACCCCCCUCCCCCCCAAAAUAUAAUUAUAACUAUUACCUGGCACUAUUAAUAACUAUUACUACUUUGCUUAACAAUUGUUUAUCACUAUUACACACACUAACACAAAAGAUUGUCCAUGUACAGCCCUCCCUUGUAUUAUCCCAUCAAAAAUCGCUUACAAAAGAAUAUAAACCUGAGGCUUAUAGUCGGAGGUUUACGGUAUGCCUUUGCAGGCUUUGCCCAUGUGGCUUAUGUAGUUGUAAAGACUGUUCACAUGGGCAAUAGAAUAAGAAAGUUAGGAAACUUGAUAUCACGCCUGUUUGGCCGAUAAAAUUGAAUUGUUUGAAAAUAUAAAACUAUUGAUUGUGGAAGCAAGAAUAUACUUUUAUUCUUGUUUUCUCGUGAUUCUAAAUCAAAUUGCAAUCAAUUAUUUACAUUUUGUAGCUGAAUUUUAGCUGAUUUACAGCACAAAAAUGUACAAACGCCAUUGGAAUUCAAACGAAACAUGACAUAUUAUGUAACGAUCAAUAAUAACUGUUGCAUUGUUCAAAUGAUCAGUUUCAUUGGUCAAAAGGGUGUGAUUAACCCCUGGAACAUCGCGUUUAAAACAUAAACUAGGUUACCUAAAAUGUAGUAAAUGCUGCCUUUAAGAAGCACACGCCGUGAACGUUUUAAAAUACUGUUUGUAGUGAUUGCAAAUCAAAGAUGUGUUUAUAUCACAUAUACGAAAUAUACAAAUACACAAUUUGAAGCGUAGCCUAUAAAACUGCGAAACAUAUUAAUACUAUCUAAAAUAUAGUGAAAUAUAGCAGUAUUAGACUUAAUAUGAAAUCUGAUAGUAUUUGUCGUUUGUAUUUGUACGUGCACUAUAAAAACAGCGAUUAAUUCAACAGAUUGCACUUGAUAUAUUCUUACUUUAAUAUGCUUUAGUGAAUAUUACUUCCAUAAACACAAAGGCCUGUUUACACUUGCAAUUUUCACUACGAUUUCUACAACGAUUUUUUGAAAUCUCCAAUGUACAGUGUACACACCCUGCGAUUUUGACUGCAACUUUGGUGCGACAACACUGCAAUUUGCAGCGAUUUUUCCCAUUUUACUGGCUUAUAAACUGAGUUAAUAAAUUUUCAAUACUUCACUCAAGUUUACAAGCAAUACAAAGAUUUUGUUCUAAUUAGGUUGUUUACGGCUGUUUUCUGACAAGUGAUUGGCUGUAGAAAAAAAUUCCCCGACUUGUUAGUGACGUUAGUGAUUUUAAUAUGAGUUAUGUCAUGCAAAAUGGGUCUGAAACUUUCUGUAUUGAACUACCACUCACUCACAAAUUAAUUAACUGCAUUUAUAAUUCUAUUGUGCAAUCUUGCUUUUAUAUAUCCUGUGCAAUAUUGCUUUUAAAAACAGCGUGAAAGUGAAAAAUUGUAAAUAUUUAAUAGCAAUGUAAUUCAAAUAGCCGCCCUGAUAGCCGCGCAUUGCAUGUUGGUAAAAUGACUUUCAACCAACAUGCUUUGCGGCUCUAUAGCAAGAUUGAGAUUUUGAGUAGCUGUACGAUUUUAGUCUGCUGCCUUGCUCGCUCGCUUAAUGCUCGCUCGCUGCGGGAGUAACAAACGUGAAAAAAUUUGCACGCUUCAAGCUUGAACGCAAAUGGCAGUAUGUUUUCAUUUAACCGUUGUGUAAUAUCACAACUGGGUAAUUAAACCAACACGCUGCUAUUGGUUGGUUGGGCAAGAAAACGGGACCAGCUAAACGGAGAGUUAUGAAGUGGAGAGUUAUCUCGGAGAGUUAUGAUUUCGGAGAGUUACAUUCAAACCACGCCAACUUUUCCCAAUGACCACACCCAAUUUCUUAACUCUCCCGACGUUUCCUUGAACUAACAUGAGAGAGUUACGUUUGACCCAAUCUCUCUCGUUAACAUUAUGAAGAUGUUAAAAAGUUGUCAUUUUUAUAACUCUCUGCGUUCAUGAUUGUGGCAAUGAAGAGAGUUAAGUCAGUUUUUUGAGAAAACCUUCCACAUAUUAGUACAUUUUUGUAAAUUCACUUUUUUCUCAAUCUCAAGUGUCAACAUUUUAUGCUAGUAGAAACUAAUAGUACUUUAGUACUUACCAAAUUCAUCUAUAUGUAUGUAAAUGUUUAUAUAAAUAUACAUGCUCACUUGGAUUAUCAAGCAAGACCAGCAUUCAGAUACAUAUUAGAUAGAACUAGAAAAUCGUUCCAAUGUAAUGCCAUAUUGGCUGAUCCGGGAAGUAUUUCCAAAACCUGAAUUGCUGAAAGAUUCAAUUUUCUUAAUUUUCUUGCAACUAUGCUUGCCGUAUUUACUGCCAAAUACAUGUCAACACAUGCUUCUGGGGGUACUUUGGCCCUUUGACUGAAUCAAGUUGCAUUUCCUAUUCACACGCUACAAAUUGAAAUACCAAAAAAAUAAGAUGAAAAUCUGAAGAAACAAAAGCGGAGAUCGAGUUAUAAAAAAUGAUAACUCUCUAACAUCUUCAUAACGUUAACGAUAGAGAGUUGCGGCAAACAUAACUCUCAUAUGUUAGUUCAAUGAAACAUCGGGAGAGUUAAAAAAUUGGGUGUGGUUGUUGAGAAAAGUGGGCGUGGUUUGAAUAUAACUCCCCGAAAUCAUAACUCGCCGGUUGGUAACUCUCCCUUAAGUUAUACCCCAAGAAAACAAUAGAGAGUUUAAGUUCGACUUCCGAUACCGAUACCUUCACUUCCGUUCUCAUAAAGCGUUAAGCUAUCACAACUGAUAAAGUAUAGAACACAUUAAUCGUCACCGAAAAUGUGCGACGGCUGAGCUAAAAUUCCGACUAAAACAUGACUCAGGCGAUGCCAAUAAACAAAUAGUUUAUGUGUACGUGUUUAUCGUAAAAAUUAUGAAAUAUCCAAUUUAUUUGAGUUUACCUUACAUUAAUUUCCCACGACUUCCAAUACAAGGCCGAUAUACUUGUCCUUGUGCUUCUUGUGAGCAGAGAGCAUGCGCAUGACAUGUUGUUGGUAUCGGUAUUGGAAUUCGAACUUAAACUCUCUAAUACACAUGUGACAAUGAGGGAACCAUUUUUUGCAAAAACCAAGACAAAAACAUAGAUCAUGUAUGAGGUCUAUUAUGUCUGUAUCGAAACAUAACCUUGACUAUGAUCACAUGGGGGUCAAUGAUGGGCCUUUCAACCAUUGGGGGCAGACCAUUAGAAAAGUGAUGUGGGGGGCGGGGGGGGGGGGCAAAAGCAAAAAUAGAAAUCGAGCAGGGGAAACAGAAGAAAAAAAUUCUAGCACGAAAAAAGUUUUAAAAAAAAAUUUGUGCAUAGACUUUUCAAUAGUGAAAAUUAUAAGUUGUGUAAGGGUGGCCCCCAAUUGUAAACCUAAAUAUUGAAGAUAUGGGUGCAAAAAAACGUUUUACGCAUGUAUUAACAAGAAUGUGUGAGGGAAAAUUUUUUUGAAUUGAAAAAAUUCAAGCAAGGGAUGAUUUUAAAAAAAUUAUCAACACAAGCAAAAAAUUUUGAAAAAAUAAUUACACGGGUUGGAAAUCCCCCCCCCCCCAUCACUUUUCUAAUGGUCUGUCCCUUAGUUGAUUAUGUCACCAUCAAGGGGGGUACCUAAUUGGAUUACAGUUGAUAUACAUAAGCUACUUCUAAGAAUAUUUAGGGGGUGCACGGAACCGAACUCGGUUCCGGCUGGAACCCUGAUUUUUUAGAUUUCCGGUUCCAGCUGGAACUAGUAAAAAAAGCAUGGCCGGAAUCGGAACUCUGUCAUUUUCAGAGAGAUAGAAUAUCAAACGUUUUUGUGUCUAACAAAAGGUCACAGUAGGAAGAAAUUUGGACUACGCAAAGGAAAUGUACACUAACAGUUCAUUAUGACGUUUAACACUUGUCAAUAUUUUUAUUCUAAUAUUUGCGAGCUCUCUCCUUGAUGACUUGAAGUGUCUGCAGCGGACAAAGUAACAUAUGACUAUAUAUGGCUUAAUAAAUUAGUUCCGGCCAGAACUUUUUUCCAGUUCAGGUCGGAUCCGGUUUCUGGCCGGAACUUAAAAAACUGGUUCUGGUGCACCCCUAAGAAUAUUUAUAUUAAUUUGCAGGCAAAUACAGGACUAUCGGUACUGCAUAUAAUGAAAAUGAGUAUUUUAUCACUGUGAUAAUUCUCGGUUGAAGCCAUGUAAUUAAAUACUUCUUAUUACCUCCAAUUUAGAUUCUUGCUGGUCAUGACAGUUGUAUCCAAAAGUGGGGCCAUGGAUGCUGGUCAAGUUCUAAACCAGGGCCACCAUGCCCAAAUGCACCAAACUAAUUUCAUAAUCAUAUGUGGCAUCUUUAAUAUAAUUUCACUUUAUUUUUGAGAAGAAAUUUCACCAAAAUUUUAACAGUGCAGCUUAGUGGUGGUUGUGGAUACUUUUGGUAUAUUAUGUACUUUAAUGGAUUAUAAUAAACAUUUAUGGAUUACUAAGGAUAUUUAUUACCAUGAACAUGUUCGGACAUAUGUGCCUCCAUCUCAACGGUUACCCACAGACAUCGAUGUACCUCGAUAAUGGAGCUGCACUAUGGCUAAAGUGAGGUCUAACUUAAGGUACAGAUUUUCAUUGUUAGCAUGCUAUUGGGCAGUAGUUAGCCUGCUAUCAGGCAAUAGUUACCCUGCUAUCAGGCCGUAGUCACCCUGUUAUCAGGUAAUGGUUAGCCUGCUAUCAGGCAGUACCUGUAUUUCGGUAUUGAAUUUGUACCCAUGACUCUAAAUACCAAAAAAUGUAGUACAUUUUCACACAAUUUUUCUGAUGCUUGCAUGGUUACAAAAACGUUGACGUAACCUUGACUGUGAUAUGCCACAUACUGUUGUGAUUUUUUGCGCUUAUUAUGUUGAAACAUGGUUGCUAUGAGUAUACAAAUUUAUAAUGCAUCGGUAUCUCACCUCAUUGUGAAAACCCUAGCAUAUGCCGCAUAUGCAUGAACAAACUAUAUCCAAUUUUUGCCACAUUUUUUCAUUUUUGAAAAAGUGGGAAAAAACAAGGCCGUUUUUAGCCACUUAUUACAUUUUGUAUUAGCCU